UCCGUGUGCCAAAAAUAGGCCGCGGGCAAAGCCGCGCCCAAAAAUAACCGCCCGAAGGCCGGGGCGCCAAGUUCGUCCAGCGGAAAGAGGCCACAAAAACGGGUGGGCUAUAGCCUUGGGGGGUGGGGCUGGCCCACUUCAUCCGCCGGACUCGGAAUGCCGCGAGGGUUUGCGAGGGGCCUCCGUGUGCCAAAAAUAGGCCGCGGGCAAAGGCGCGCCCAAAUAUAACCGCCCGAAGGCCGGGGCGCCAAGUUCGUUCAGCGGAAAAAGCCCACAAAAACGGGUGGGCUAUAGCCUUGGUGGGCGGGGCUGCCCACUUCGUCCGCCGGACAACUUCGUCCGCCGGGCUCGGAAUGCCGUGAGACUUUGCGAGGGGCCUCCGUGCGCCAAAAAUAGUCCGCGGGCAAAGCCGCGCCCAAAAAUAACCGCCCGAAGGCCGGGGCGCCAAGUUCGUCCAGCGUAAAAAGGCCACAAAAACGUGUGGGCUACAGCCUUGGGGGGUGGGGCUGGCCAACUUCGUCCGCCGGACUCGGAAUGCCGCGAGACUUUACGAGGGGCCUCCGUGUGCAAAAAAUAGGCCGCGGGCAUAGCCGCACCCAAAUAUAACCGCCCGAAGGCCGGGGCGCCAAGUUCGUCCAGCGGACAAAGGCCACAAAAACGGGUGGGCUAUAGCCUUCGGGGGUGGGGCUGGCCAACUUCGUCCGCCGGACUCGGAAUGCUGUGAGACUUUGCGAGGGGCCUCCGUGUGCCAAAAAUAGGCCGCGGGCAAAGCCGCGCCCAAAAAUAACCACCCGAAGGCCGGGGCGCCAAGUUCGUCCAGCGGAAAAAGGCCCCAAAAACGGGUGGGCUAUAGCCUUGGGGGGUGGGGCUGGCCCACUUCGUCCGCCGGACUCGGAAUGCCGCGAGACUUUUCGAGGGGUCUCUGUUGCCAAAAAUAGGCCGCGGGCAAAGCCGCGCCCGAAGGCCGGGGCGCCAAGUUCGUCCAUCGAAAAAAGGCCACAAAAACGGGUGGGCUAUAGCCUUGGGAGGUGGGGCAGGCCAACUUCGUCCCCCGGACUCAGAAUGCCGCGAGACUUUGCGAGGGGUCUCCGUGUGCCAAAAAUAGGCCGCGGCCAGAGCCGCGCCCAAAAAUAACCGCCCGAAGGCCGGGGCGCAAAGUUCGUCCAGCGGAAAAAGGCCACGAAAACGGGUGGGCUAUAGCCUUGGGGGGUGGGGCUGGCCAACUUCAUCCGCCGGACUCGGAAUGCCGCGAGACUUUGCGAGGGGCCUUCGUGUGCCAAAAAUAGGCCGCGGGUAAAGCCGCGCCCAAAAAUAACUGCCCGAAGGCCGGGCGCCAAGUUCGUCCAGCGGAAAAAGGCAACAAAAACGGGUGGGCUAUAGCCUUGGGGGGUGGGGCUGGCCAACUUCGUCCGCCGGACUCGGAAUGCCGCGAGACUUUGCGAGGGGCCUCCGUGUACCAAAAAUAGGCCGCGGGCAAACCCACGCCGAAAAAUAACCGCCCGAAGGACGGGGCGCCCAGUUCGUCCUGCGGAAAAAGGCCACAAAAACGGGUGGGCUUUAGCCUGGGGGGUGGGGCUGGCCGACUUUGUCCGCCGGACUCGGAAUGCCGCGAGACUUUGUGAGGGGCCUCCGUGUGCCAAACAUAGGCUGCGGGUAAAGCCACGCCCAAAAAUAACCGCCCGAAGGCCGGGGCGCCGAGUUCGUCCAGCGGAAAAAGGCCACAAAAACGGGUGGGCUAUAUCCUUGGGGGGUGGGGCUCGCCAACUUCAUCCGCUGGUCUCGGAAUGCCGCGAGACUUUGCGAGGGGUCUCCGUGUGCCAAAAAUAGGCCGCGGGCAAAGCCGCGCCCAAAAAUAACCGCCCGAAGGCCGGGGCGCCAAGUUCGUCCAGCGGAAAGAGGCCUCAAAAACGGGUGGGCUAUAGCCUUGGGGGGUGGGGCUGGCCCACUUCAUCCGCCGGACUCGGAAUGCCGCGAGGGUUUGCGAGGGGCCUCCGUGUGCCAAAAAUAGGCCGCGGGCAAAGGCGCGCCCAAAUAUAACCGCCCGAAGGCCGGGGCGCCAAGUUCGUUCAGCGGAAAAAGCCCACAAAAACGGGUGGGCUAUAGCCUUGGUGGGCGGGGCUGCCCACUUCGUCCGCCGGACAACUUCGUCCGCCGGGCUCGGAAUGCCGUGAGACUUUGCGAGGGGCCUCCGUGCGCCAAAAAUAGUCCGCGGGCAAAGCCGCGCCCAAAAAUAACCGCCCGAAGGGCGGGGCGCCAUGUUCGUCCAGCGGAAAAAGGCCACAAAAACGGGUGGGCUAUAGCCUUGGGGGGUGGGGCUGGCCAACUUCCUCCGCCGGACUCGGAAUGCCGCGAGACUUUGUGAGGUACCUCCGUGUGCCAAAAAUAGGCUGCGGGUAAAGCCGCGCCCAAAAAUAACCGCCCGAAGGCCGGGGCGCCGAGUUCGUCCAGCGGAAAAAGGCCACAAAAACGGGUGGGCUAUAGCCUUGGGGGGUGGGGCUGGCCAACUUCAUCCGCCGGACUCGGAAUGCCGCGAGACUUUGCGACGGGCCUCCGUGUGCCAAAAAUAGGCCGCGGACAAAGCCGCGCCCAAAAAUAACCGCCCGAAGGCCGGGGCGCCAAGUUCGUCCAGCGGAAAAAGGCCACAAAAACGGGUGGGCUAUAGCCUUGGGGGGUGGGGCUGGCCAACUUCGUCCGCCGGACUCGGAAUGCCGCGAGACUUUGCGAGGGGCCUCCGUGUGCCAAAAAUAGGCCGCGGGCUAAGCCGCGCCCAAAAAUAACCGCCCGAAGGCCGGGGCGCCAAGUUCGUCCAGCGGAAAAAGGCCACAAAAACGGGUGGGCUAUAGCCUUGGGG
rnacentral:lncRNA from 1 species